UUGCUUCAUCGCACUCUUGAUGCAUCAUGGAUACUUCUCAAGCUUUAAACACUCAAGCCGUCAAUGCAAUUGUUCUUGCCACUAACACUAUGUCUCUUCCGAAUGUUGCUCCAAUGCUCACAAUAAAGCUCACGUCAUCCAAUUACAUGUUAUGGCAAGCGCAAAUAUUACCGCUACUGCACAGCUACAAUUUGGCUUCCCACAUCAGCCUAUAGGCUCAAGCUCCGUCUCUCACUAUGGAUGAUGGCACCCCUAAUCCAUAAUAUUUAACUUGGUUUAGGCAAAGAUCAAAUGGUUCUCAGCUGGUUCUUCUCUUCUUUUUCGGAAACUAUUCUUCUAUAAAUUGUUGGUCUUCGUACAGCUAAUGAGGCUUCGCAAAAAUUAAAUUCUAUUUUUGCCUCAGGAUCUCGUACCAAGAUUCAAUAGUUACGGAAACAAUUAAAGCAUCUCAACAAAGGUACCGACUCUGUUUUUGUUAUGAAGGCGGCAAAGUUGAUUUCUGAUCAAUUUUCUACUUUCCAAUGUCCAAUUUCGGAGGAUGCACUUAGUGGUGAUGUUCUUGAAGGUAUUGGGUCUACAUAUAGGCCAUUCACUCGGGUAAUUGAAGCCCGCAAAUCUCUGAUCACAUAUGAUGAUUUGUACAUGUUCUUAUUGAGUGAAGAAGCGCAACUGCAGAUGGAUGCUCUAUCUUUGAAUUCGUCUAUACCUCCCACAGCACAUAUCGCUGCGAGUCCCUUUAAUCAGAGUGGUCAUGGUCAACGAUCUCAAAGGGAGGUCAAGGUUGUGGUCGCCAAUCAAGUUUUCAAUCCCCAUCCUACACCAAUGUUAAUCCUAAUACUAUCUGCUACAACUGUCAAGGACAUGGACAUCUAUCUUGCUAAUGCUCAACACCAAAGUCCACCAACCUCCACGCCAUCUCAUCCUACCUCUCGCCACAAACUAACUUUGCAGUCACAAGUAAUAAUUCCAUGCAGCUUUGGAUAGUUGAUUCAAGUGCUAACUACCAUUUGACUGUUGACAAUGGAAAUAUCACAUCUUAAGCACCAUACCGUGGCGCCAAUGAGAUCAUAGUGGGCAAUGGUAAUUCUGUUCCUAUCUCUGGUCAUGGCUCAUCUUCUGUUAUUUUAAAUCAUCUCCCUUACACUCUUAAUCACAUUCUUCAUGCUCCAUCCAUUCAUUGCAAUUUACUUUUAGUUUUUGCUUUUACUAAUGAUAACAAUGUUUCCAUUGAAUUUUCCCCUGAUAUGUUUCUUGUUAAGGAUAUCCGCACGAAAUGGAUCCUCUACCGAGGCCAGAGUAAGCAUAGGUUAUAUGUUUUGCCUCACCAGAUCACUGCUACAUCUUUUCCAGUCGCUAAUGCUGCGUUUUUGUAUACUUGGCAUGUUACAUUAGCUCAUCCCCAUAAUCGUGUUGUUAAUCAAGUUCUUUCUUCUAAUAAUUUAUCAUUCAAUAAAAAUAUUGCUGAUGUUCCCUAUAAUGCCUGCAAUGUUAGUAAAAGUCACAAAUUACCAUUUUUUGAUUCACAUUCUACUGUUAAUGCUCCUUAAGAAUUGAUAUGUUCUAACGUUUGGGGACCAUCUCUUGUUGCUUUUAUUGAUGGUUAUCUUUAUUAGGCUCUAUUUUAUGAUCACUACCGUAAAUAUUGUUGGAGUUAUUUUCUUAAAUGUAAAUCUAAUGUACUAAACACAUUCAUUAAAUUUCAUCAUUUAGUGAAAAAUAUUUUGGCUUACCUAUAAAAAUGUUCCAAGUAGUUUGGGGUGGAGAAUUCCAAGCUUUAACAACUUACCUAAGAGAUAAUGGAAUGACACAACGUGUUUGUUACCAAUAUACACUGAAACAAAAUGAGUGCAAAAUAAAAAUACCGUCGUAUAUUUGAAAUUGGACGUGCUUUAAUGCACAGUUCAUCUCUCCCUUUUAAAUAUUGAACUUAUGCGUUUGACAGUGCUGUCUAUACCAUCAAUCGUUUACCUUCCACAAGCACUAAACUAUUCACACCACAUCACAUUUUAUUUAAGCAAAGUCCAAAUUAUGAUGAACUGAAAGUUUUUGGUUGUUUGUGUUAUCCUUAGUUAAAACCCUAGGCUAAACAUAAAUUGGAACCACCCAAAUUCACCCCCUGUGUCUUGCUUGGUUAUAGUAAGCUACACAAAGUAUAUUUUUGUUUGGAUUAUCUUUCUCACAAAAUUUACAUCUCAUGACAUUUUGUGUUUUAUGAGCAAGUAUUUCCUUUUGGAGACAGCCAAAUGGUAGCAUCAAUCACUCACCAAGACCUGCUGGAAUCACAUGCCACGAAAGACAAUUACAUAUAACUACUUAUUCCGUCCUUUCCCACCAUAAGUCAUACCCAUAACCCACAUCCAAACAGCCCCAUGCAUGACCCACUUCCCUUAACUAUUGUAACUCCAUGUGGUCCUGCCACCCAAAACCAACCAAUUUUACUUGGUCCUUAUCCCACGACAAUACAAACCAAUCCAAUCACUUCACCUUCUUCCCUCUCCCAACCUAACCAUGACACUUCCCCCCUUUCCUCAUCUAAUCAUGACACCUCAUCCACUCAAGCCCUAUCGAAGAACCAUCACUGACAUCACCAUCUCCUAACCUUAUCACAUGAAGACCUCAUCCCAUCCAGCCACACCUAUAGUCCCUAUCGAUCACAUUAACUCAUCCAUCAUCUCUACCACAUUCUAUACCCAAUCUAACCCAUUCUCUUAGUCCCACUCCACCUCAACAACAUGUAAAUUUGAAUAGGCUAUAUCUCUUCUUGUUGACCUCCCGACCUCUCCCUUUAUCUCUGUAAAUCUUCCAUCCUUAUCUCAACCAAUUUGAACCACCUAAAGACCCAUCUUCCCUUAAUGUCCUUCUUAUGCUUACCCAUGGCAAGACAGGGAAUUCAAAACCUAAGACCUUUACUACUACAAGUUCUCUACCUCCUAUCCUAUCCUGUUAUACUAAAGCUGCUCCUUAUCAACAAUGGCGUGAUGCCAUGGAUGCCGAAUUCAUGACACUGUUAAAAACUGGGACAUGGACUCUAGUACCUUGAUCCAAUGCUACUAACAUUAUUGGAUGCAAGUGGGUGUAUUGUAUAAAGCAGAAACCUAAUGGCACCAUUGGUAAAUAUAAGGCACAUCUUGUUGCCAAGGGAUAUCAUUAAUGUUCUGAAAUUGACUUUACAGAAACAUUCUCUCCAGUCAUUAAACCAACUAUAUUAAGAGUGGUUCUCUCCUUGCUGUAUCACGUAACUGGUGUCUAAAUCAGAUAGAUGUCUCCAAUGCUUUCUUGCAUUGUGACUUGGAAGACAUAGUCUAUUGGGAGCAACCACCUGGGUAUCUCAACCUCAACAAACCUGAUCAUGUCUGCAAAGUGAACAAAUCUCUCUAUGGUCUUCAUCAAGCACCACAUCAAUGGUACAAUAAGCUCAAAGUUGCUCUUCUCAAACAUCAAUUUCGACCAUCUAUUGUAGAUUCUUACUUAUUCAUCUACUCCUCAGCAACCAUCCAAUGUUACUACCUUGUUUACAUAUAUGACAUCAUCUUGACUGGUAAUGAUGUUAAUUUCACUCGCCAAUUAGUUACAUCAAUACAACUUGAUUUUCAGUUGAAGGAUCUUUUUUCACUCACAAAUUAGUUACAUCAUUGCUUUUCAGUUGAAGGAUCUUGGUACUCUUGACUACUUUCUUGGUAUUAAAAUUCAUCAUAAAAGCAAUGGACUUCUGUUAACUCAAAGAAAUAUAUUGGAGAUUUGUUAACCAAAGCAAAUAUGGACAAUUAUAAUGGUAUUUCUGCCCUUGAAUGUCCCAAUGUUCGGCUUAGCAUUCACAGUGGCCAACCUGCUCCUGAUCCACAUCUCUAUAGAAGUAUUAUGGAGGAUUAUAGUAUCUCUCCCUCACAAGACUUGACAUAUCAUAUGCUAUGCACAAAUUAUCCCAAUAUUUGCACUCUCCUAUUGACCAACAUUGGACAAUACUUAAGUGCAUAUUGCGUUAUUUGAAGUCGACUCAAUAUCAUUGUCUCAUGCUCAGCUGAUCUUGCAAUGAUAAUAUCAAUGCUUACACUGAUGCUGAUUGGGCUACUAACCCAAAUGAUUGCAAGUCACUCAUUGGUUUUGCUAUCUACUUAGGUAGCAAUUUAGUUUCCUGGGGCACUAAGAAGCAACCUACAGCGGCUAAAUCAUCCACUAAAGCAUAAUACAGGGCUAUUGGAGCUAUAACCCAAGAAGUUAUUUUGUUAGUCUUUAUUGCAUGAUAUUGGUAUUUUCUCUUCCUCUACACUUAUAUUAUGGUGUGAUAAUGUGGUUGCUACUUAUUUAUAUGUUGAUCCUAUUUUCCACUCCCGCACAAAAUAUAUUGAAGUUGAUUUUCACUUUGUUCAUGACAAAGUAGUCAAGAAGGAAUUAUAGGUUUGCUUAAUCUCUUCCAAAGAUCAAAUUGCAGUUCUUGUCACCAAAGCUCUCUCUCGCACGAGACAUAAACUUCUUUCACCAUAUUAACAAUUCAACCGCAGCACGGUUUGAAUUGCGAGGGGCGUUUAAAACCUGUUGUAAUUGCCGUAGACUUUUUG
rnacentral:misc_RNA from 1 species